UGGGGAAUAUUGGACAAUGGGCGAAAGCCUGAUCCAGCCAUGCCGCGUGAGUGACGAAGGCCUUAGGGUUGUAAAACUCUUUCGUCGGGGACGAUAAUGACGGUACCCGAAGAAGAAGCUCCGGCUAACUUCGUGCCAGCAGCCGCGGUAAUACGAAGGGAGCUAGCGUUGUUCGGAAUCACUGGGCGUAAAGCGCACGUAGGCGGAUAGUUAAGUCAGGGGUGAAAUCCUGGGGCUCAACCCCAGAACUGCCUUUGAUACUGGCUGUCUCGAGGUCGAGAGAGGUUGGUGGAAUUCCUAGUGUAGAGGUGAAAUUCGUAGAUAUUAGGAAGAACACCAGUGGCGAAGGCGGCCAACUGGCUCGAUACUGACGCUGAGGUGCGAAAGCGUGGGGAGCAAACAGGAUUAGAUACCCGCGUAGUCCCUGAGCGGGCUGGCAAGGCGCAU
rnacentral:rRNA from 1 species